AAAUUAUUGAUUAAAACAGAAAACAGAAAAACAAGAGAGCUUGGUAUUUAAGAUAAAUAUAAUUAGUCCCCAAUUCCCGAACCCUACAACAUUACCUCUGUCUUUUUCCAGUUAAAACCCCUGCACUCCACUGCCGGCUGCCGCUUCUCGCCGUCAGUUGUCAGCGAUCAGGUUUGUUCUUGCCUUGUGUACUUUGUAUAUUAUCUCGAUCUACCAAAAUUCAUGGCCCAAUUUUGUCACCCAAACUUUAGCUUCAUUACUGACCCAAAUUCUUGUCGAUAUCCGAUGCCUCAACUGAAAAAUAUGGUAAUUGAUGGUAUAUAUUUCACACUGAGUUUGAAAAAUUGGACUAUCCUUAAGUUUGUUAUUAGAAUUUGAUUACCAACAUAGGUCGUCGAAAUUGAGUGUUUCUUUAGGUUAAUACUAUGAAAUUCUAUUACGUUUAUCUUCAUUCUUAAUCUACAAAUUAUCUCUGUUUGUUUGGAUUGGUUUUUUCUUACCAUAUGAUAUGUUACACUUUUUAAAAUUAUAAUUUAGUUAAAAACUAUUUUGAUUUUAAAACUCUUCAAAGUAAAUCAAUCCAAAUAGGCUAACUUGCUUUUUGACGAUUAAUCAUGUUUGGGUUGCAUUAACUUUUGACUUGCAAAAGUUCUAACUUAUGAUUUUAGACUUUAGAAACACAUCAUAUAAGUCAAUUUAAACACGCUCGAUGUUUGAAGUUUCCUUUUUGAUUAUACAAUUCAAAACUUGAGUUUAAUUCAGUUUCUACUAGUUUAAUAUAUUUUUUGAUUAAAUUUUAAUAUUGUAAUACUUCUAUAAUUUUAAAAAUUAAAAGAGAUAUUAACAUACAUUAGUGUUUUAACAUAUUUAUAAAAAUAACUUAAAUACACAAGUAUAAGUCUAAUUUUUCCUUUUUUUAUAUAUUACAUAAUUUCCUUUUUUUUAAAUUUUAAUAGAAGUUUAGAGAUAUAUAAUCUUCUCUCUCCUAUAACACACACUUCCCCAAUAUCAUUCCUAUUUUUUAUCUACUAAAACACUCAAUUUUCUGAAUCACUUUUUAAAUUUUGAAUUAUUACUUUUAAUUAAACACGUUUCACAAUAUUUAAUAUGCAAUUUUGAAUUUCAAAAUUCAAAAAUUGCAACAAUUUCAAAUACUCGUGAUACAUAGAAAGAAGUAUAAAAAAGACAUGCCCCGAAGCAAUGUCGGCCAGACAAUAAUGGUUGCUGAUGCUUUUCUCUUUUUUGGUGUAUUUUAGCAACCUUUGAUUUAGAUGAUUCCCCAAUAUCUUUGUUUGAAUCCUUCCGAACAUUCAUAUGAUCAUGUAAAGAUUUUUUUCUAUUUUCAUCGUCCGAAUCAUAAAUUCUCCUAUUCGUAAAAGGAUACAUUAAUAUAAUGUAAUAGAACGAUGAACAAGAAGAAAAGAAGAAGAACGGAUGAUGGAGUAAGAAGAAGAACCAGAGACGGAUGAUGAGUAAGAAGAACCAGAGAACAAUGGUAGUUUCAAUUUUUAGAAAUUUCAGAUUUUUGAAAUUCAAAAUUGCAUAUUAAAUAUUGUGAAACGUGUUUAAUUAAAAGUAAUAAUUCAAAAUUUAAAAAGUGAUUUAAAAGAUUAAGUGCUUUAGUGGAGAAAAAAUAGGCAUGAUAUUGAAAAAACGUGUGUUAUAGGAGAGAGAAGACUAUGUAUCUCUAAACUUCUAUUAAAAUUAAAAAAAAAAGAAUUAUGUAAUAUUUAAAAAAAGAAGAAAAAAUUAGAGAAUACUAAACUUAUAGUUGUGUAUUUAAGUUAUUUUUCUUUACGAUGAUUUUUCUUAAAUUAAAAUCACAAAAAUAAAAUACCUGUCGUUGCUUAAAUUGACUCGUCUCUUUUUUUCAUUAAUUAUAUCAUGAGAUCUGUUCCCAACUUCCAAGAAGAACAAAUGAAAUCUCAAUGCUACAUUAACAAGAGAAAAAAAAAUGAAAAUAGAAGUAAGGCGGAUAUAAAUAUAUGUUGAAAAAAAACAUAAAUAUGAUCACUAUGAAUUGAUGGUUUAUCCAGUAAUAAAAUUUAAGUUUUUUUCCUCGUGCAUUAAUAACACAAGUUUGGUGCAAGGUGGGAGUGUGCUGGGAGGGGAAAAAUUUUCAACACUUCAAUUUCAAAAGUGUAGGUUAAAAUUUUAAAAUAACAUGUUAAUGUCCCCAAUGCACGUCCUGGUGAGUUUUAAAUUUUUCAUUGGGAGUAGGUUCAACAUGAGAUAUUCUGACAAUAAAAAUUUGUGUUACAUGUUCAACAUGAGAUCCAUAUAAGAUAAAACGAAAAGCCUGAUGUUCAUAGCACAAAGAAUACUAUACAAAUUUCUUCAGUACAAGUAACCAUCUGAAAAGGAGAUGUUUGUUUUCCUCAUUAAGCUGAUUGAAUUUAG
rnacentral:lncRNA from 1 species